AUGGACACAUCUUCUUCCCCCUUUCUUCCUUCUUCCCGUUUAUCUCGGUUUCUUCUUCCAUUUUCAUCUUGUAUUAGGUUGCAGAGACCUACCGAGAUGACUUGAAAAGGAACCAUUUUUCAGGACAAAUUCCGGAUGAAUUCGGUGAAUCAUCUCUGAAACUUUAUAAGUAUUUUUCUGCUUGUGGGGUGGAGAGACAUAUACUGCUCGAUCUCGCAUUUUUCUUCCUUGUAUUGAUCUUAAUAUCAAUUCGCCAUGCUAGGGAUUUGUCUUUCAAUGAGACUUAUGUGGACAUACCAUUUUCAGUAUCAAAGUUGAAAGAAUCGGAAACAUUAUAAGCUUCUAUUGCCAUUGGGUGGUUAUAGUCCAUUGUUCUGUGAUUUUAUCCAGCGGUGAAAUUCUUUUGCGGAUUUUGAAAAGCAAUCAGCUAACUGGAACGUUCCUUCAUCUUUGUCACAGAUUCCAAACUUGAGAAUCAUGGACCUGGCCCAAAAAAUAAACUGAGUGGUGAGAUACCUAGACUUGUCUACUUGAAUGAAGUUCUAACAUAUUUUGCAGGGGCUUGUGUGAGAACAAUUUGGUAUAGAGUUUCUCUUCUGAUAUCUUCCAAUUAACAGGCUUGUGGUUAUUGUAAGUUUUUAUGCUUUGUCAAAUAUAUAGUUAAUGACUCUUUCUCUACACCUUCUAGGGAAGAUAUGUGUUUAUUAAUGUCAUCAUGUUUAUAUGUUUCUUAGUGAUGUAAGAAAUAACAGCCUUACUAGUAGCAUACCUAUGAAUACUAGAAACUGUGCGGGCUUCUAGGUCUUGUACGUAUCAACAAGCUCAAUCACAUAUUUCUCAUGAACAUAAAGUUGCGGACUUGCGGUUUCUAGCUAGAAACCGACUCUCUGUUUCUUUGUUUCAUAAGGAUUUGUCCUACAACCAGCUUACCGGGGAGAUCCGUUUAACGUGUAUUUCUACAAGUGGACACACUGUACGUAAUUCUUAAUUUCCUUUCAGUUAUCCAGUUUAAACAUAUCUCAAGGGUCUAUCCUGGUUAUGAUUUAGCUGAUAAUACCUGCGUUUUUCUAUUUUUCAAAUGGACGACCUCUACAAGAAAACAGACUCAUUUGGAAAAUUUCAUCUAUUGUUGGUCAGAUGUAGGCACUUGCUGUUUUGUCAGGACUUUUGGCUUGGUCAUAGUGAGCUAAUAUCAAGAUUCAGUUAUAACCUCUUGUUCAUCUUUAUUGACCUGUUCAGUGUUUUAUAUUUACUACAGAGACCUUAGCUGCAACUCGUUAAAUUUGGGAAGCUCACUGAGUUGUAUGAUUUGUAAGUGUUUGUUGAAAAACUUAUUAUGUGUUUCAAUAUCUUGAUUUAAGUAGACCUUCUUACAGCAAUGUAUCUCACAACAAUCUCUUCGGUGAUAUCCCCACUGGUAACAACUUCUCAAGGUCUCGUGUUGAUAGCUUUGUAGGAAAUCCCAGUCUUUAAGGUUAUUGGCUUGUUUCUCCAUGCCAGUAUCCACCAGAUUGGCCUUCAAUAUCCAAAGCCGCCAUCUUACAUAUUGCACUGGGUGCCCUUGUUCUACUUCUCCUUAUCUUUUUAGCAGCAUUUUGAGCACACAAUCCAAAACCUUUUGCAGAAGGGUCGCCGGGAAAACCAGCUAUGUAUACCUCACCAAAGCUCGUGAUCUUCACAUGAACAUGGCACUUCAUGUGUAUGAAGACAUCAUGAGAGUGACUGAGAACUUAAGUGAGAAGUAUUAUCUAAAAUGGUCGGGAUUAUUCCAAGUAGUCCAUAUCAUGCUUCACUUAAGGUCGGAAGUGGUCGGGAUUAUGGGGAUUCACUCAUCAUGGUUGAGAACGAGCAUAUCGGUUGAAGGUUGAGAAUGAGAAUAUCGGGGUUUGACAAUGAUAUAUGUGACAUCAUGGAUUUGAAAUUAUGAAGAGAUUCCCUAAAUGAACCUAAUAAUGGUUUGUGAUGUAGAUUUAACUGUCUACUUACUGGCGUCUUUAUACGUUAAAAUAAUUGGUGGCAAUUCACCUUCCCUUUCACAAGGUCCCCUAAACUGCUUCAGUUUUACUUUUUAUUUAUAGGAAAAACUUAGGCCUGGAAAGGCACUAAGUGAAGUACACAGAGUUGUUGUUGGCAAUGGAUGUGGAGGCACCACUAGGCCUGCCAACUUUGUUCUUACACAAAAUAGCUAAAUUGAAAGUUCCCAUGUUGUGAGAGCGAUUAA